CCUACGGGGGGCAGCAGUAGGGAAUAUUGCUCAAUGGGGGAAACCCUGAAGCAGCAACGCCGCGUGGAGGAUGAAGGUUUUCGGAUUGUAAACUCCUUUUGUUAGAGAAGAUAAUGACGGUAUCUAACGAAUAAGCACCGGCUAACUCCGUUCCAGCAGCCGCGGUAAUACGGAGGGUGCAAGCGUUACUCGGAAUUACUGGGCGUAAAGAGCGCGUAGGCGGGAUAGCAAGUCAGAUGGGAAAUCCUAUGGGUGAAACAUAGAACUGCAUUUGAAACUGUUAUUCUAGAGUAUAGGAGAGGUAGGUGGAAUUCUUGGUGUAGGGGUAAAAUCCGUAGAGAUCAAGAGGAAUACUCAUUGCGAAGGCGACCUGCUAGAACAUAACUGACGCUGAGGCGCGAAAGCGUGGGGAGCAAACAGGAUUAGAUACCCUUGUAGUC
rnacentral:rRNA from 1 species